UUUAAGGGAAUGAUUCUCCAGUUCCAUGACGUGGUAAUCAAAGUGGAAAGGGAUUUGCCUCUAAAAGAGUUAUGCAAGGACUUGUGUAAUAGGGUAGACUAUAAACUGGAAAAGUUUUUAAAAGAAUUAUACCUUCUUAGAAUAAAAUGGAUUGCAAUAGUUCAAAGUAAUAAUAGGACUCUAGGCCCAAUUUCCAUAAGAAAGAAGCAACCUGAAACCACACAAAUAUGAACCAUUACUUAGAAAACAGGAAGGAUGACUGAGAGUUCAGGGAACCCAGAGGGAAAAUCCAAGAACCCCAAAGAAUCACAGAUUAAGGAACUAUGUCUAUGGGGUAGAACCAGGCUCUAACUGAGGAACUCUUCCUGGUCCCAAGAAGCCGAGGAUGGCAGUGGAUUGUGUACAGGUCACUGGAUUAACAAGUAUAUUUAAGGGGCUGCACCUGGACACUACAUUCAGUGGGCCUCAUCUGCAUCUGGAACUGGAUUUAGAGAAUGAGGUCCAGAACUCUGAGCCUAAAACAGAUACUGUCAUUGACUGAAAUUUUACAGACCUGAAAGGAAUCGUCAGAUAACCAGGAAGCAAAGAAAUACAGCCAAGCCUCCUGGUGGAUGAGAAGUCACAUGAAGUAAAACUGAGACACCCAUGCAGAGAGCAAGCACCAAGACUUCAGAUAUGAGAGUGGGGACAUCUUGAACCUUCUAUCACUGCCCAUGUACCAGAUGA